GAGACACUUGGGAAACCACCCAAUUAUUUCCCAAUAGCUUUAAGGACCCUCCAAAAGAAAGAAAGAAAGGGGAGGUCAUCAUGACCACCCCAGGAUUUCUCUUGGGGCUGACUUAUAGCAGCUGCUGGGAACCUCCUUGCUCAGGAAAAAGACCCGUAGUGUGGGCUGGGCUGUCCAGUUACCGUUCAGGGGCUCUCUUCAUCGCAGACUCCAGUGUAAUGGUUUUUUAGAGGAGGCCAGCUGGUUAGAGCUUGGUGCUGAUAACGCCAAGGUUGCGGAUUCAAACCCCGUACGGGCCACCAAAUGCCGUAGUCUGGCUGGGCACAAAUCACCGAGCCACCACAAAGCACUCGUAUGUUCAAACAGGAAACUUUAUUGCCGGAACUCCACCAGCACUCCAGGCACACUUCCCGGGAACUCUCUCUCCUCUCCACCGGGCUCCACCCCCACUCUCUCGGACCCCCAGGAGAACUCAACGGGGAACUCCAAAAUAGCAGGUGCCUGAGGCAGCAAGAGCUGCCCUAUUGGCGACAGCAAAGGUCUAUAUACAACUGAAUACACAGCUUAACAUAACCACCAUCAUCUCAAUGGCUUGCGGGCAUCACCUCUCAACCACUCCCUUCUGGCAAAAUGCCAUGUGUCAUCCUAACUCGGCUGUGGCCCUCAAAAGCCUCCCCUCAGAUGCUUGUGCUCCUGAGAAUUCUGAACCCCUUUCUGGCAGGAUUAGGGCAGGAAUUUCAUGCUUUCUGGGAUGAAAGCAUCAGAAAGAUCUGGGUUAUAAAAAGAAAUACUGGGGACGUGGACAGCAGGCCAGGGGUAGGCUUGGCUGGUCCCUACCUGGACACCGUCCCCCGUGGGCAAGCCAGUCUACCCUGUGGACUUGUCAGAGUGAGGUGGGGGUGGACGGCCCCCAUCAGGGCCUCUUUCUUUUUGUUUCCAGAUGGUGAAGCCAGAUUUAGUCAGUGUAGUUAGAUAAAUCCGGGUCUAAUACCGAGUGAAAUCUAAAAUGGAGGCCAGGCUGAGAAUGAUUCCAGGAAACGCAGGACAACUCAUGGAAUGUUAAUGAAGUCCUGAAAAGGCCCUAGGCCAAAGUCCAUCCCAAAGAAGUGUUAAUGAAGUCCUUCCUGCUCAGACUACUUCUUUGGUCCACCUGUGUCCCAGCCCUCGGGCCUUCCCACCUACAUUCCAUCACUGAAAGAAACUAUAAAAUGGAGAGACAACCGCACUUCCACGGAUUCCACCUCUUGGGUUCCCUUCUUCCUCGGGGAGAAGUCUUUUCUGCUGUCCUUUAAUAAACUUCUAAUUUCUACUCUGACCUUGCCUCGGCGUGUGCUUUUCUGGUGUUAUUCUUCAACAUUGGGGAAGCAAGGACUCGUCACCGGUCAACAGCGGUAACAAUGGGAUCCCAUUCUUCCAAAAUCCUGCGAGCUCACUGCUCUCCCAUCUGCUCUAGAACUGGGAUAGUUUGGGCUCCAGUUAAAGAGAAAACCUUUGAUCUUUUGCACGAGGCCUGGCCCCAGUACCCAGAGGAGAUGGAGGACAGUGGCCCCCUGAGGGGACCCUAAAUCACAGAACUAUUCAGCAAUGAGACCUUUUCUGUAGCAGGAGGGUAAAUGGAUGAAGCUCCUUGGUCCACUUGUUCCUUUACCUAAGACAUCGUCCUGAGCUAGCAGGACUGCAAGCCUGACCCUCAGACCCUAGUCUGCUGCCCUGAGCCAGACACCAAACCCCAGAACAGGAAAACUUGUACAGAAGAAAGGGGCCCAGCUGCACAGGAAGUCCCCUCGGCCCCAUCGGAAGGAAAGGUGAUGGGUCCUAAGACGACUUCCCCUUUACAUCCCAACUUAGAAGGACUGGAGCCCAGUCCCCCUCCUCCAGGGACAACUCCACCCUUGAUCCCAGAGGUGCUUGGAAAUUGGCUGCUCAGGGUUGUUUCCUCUUAGGGCGAUGCUGGGGCAGGGAGUUUGGACCUGAGAUGGUACAUGUCCCCCUUUCACUAGCUGAAUUCAAGGACAUAAAGAAAGACCUAAGGAACUGCACUGAACCAGAGCCGCCUUCCAACCUUCCAGCACCUUCCAGCGGUUAUCAGUCUCUAUGACUGUGCAGGAAGGUGUCCUGUUGCUCUGAGUCACACUUUACCUUCCUUGAAAAGCACAAGGUCUUAGAGACGGCUACGCUGCAGCAGGAGGACAGCAACCCUGGCUGGCAAGAGUGGGACCUCCCUGCAGGAGCCCGGAGUCCCCACCCUGAACCACAUUGGGACACUGACAGAGAGACAAUGGGCCGGACGUCACUGUAUACACUGGGUGUCAGGAGAGCCAAGGACCAGGACGGAUGUCGCUGUAUACACUGGCAUCAGGAGGACUGAGGAUGGGGACGGAUGUUGCUGUAUACACUGGAUGUCAGGAGGGCUGAGGACUAGAGAUGGACAUCACUGUAUAUACUGGGUGUCAGGAGGGCCGAGGACCAGACAGACAUUGCUGUAUACACUGGCAUCAGGAGGACUGAGGACGCGGACAGACGUCGCUGUAUACACUGGGUGUCAGGAGGGUUGAGGACCUGGGACGGUCAUCACUGUAUACACUGGGUAUCAGGAGGGCUGAGGAGAGCCCAUGGUAGCCUUCCAUUUACGCCCCGCUGGCCACUGUGAUCCCAGGAGGAGAGGAGCCACAGUGACCUUCCUCUGGGAGGCCAUUUCCAACACACUAGCUCUGGGUCCCAUAGGAGGAAGUCACUCCUACAGAUAGACUCUUACCCAGUCCUCUCCAGACCUGUGGAGGGAGCUGCGCAAAUGGGCUGUGGAGCCAGACACAACCUUGGACCUUUGUUCCAGGCUGCUGCGGUCUUUCAUAAUAGAGGCCUGGGAUAGGAGGACAAGGAGGACAAAGGACAGGGAGGACAGAUGGCAGCCUGUGAGUGGGCUGUCCUCCUUGUUCUCUUUCUCCAGGCCUCUAACAGGAGUGGAGCCUCCUCCACUCCUGUUUCUCUUGAGGGAAAGAAGGCCACUCCUAAAAGGAUUGUCCCCGGAGGUGACGACCACCAGUCGGACUGCCUCCCACACCUGUCCUUUACGUCCAAAAGCCCAUCUCUAUUUGCCUUUGAGGACCCUACCCGUAAGGCAGGACCUGGUGCGAGGCCUCCUGGACUGGUCAUACCGGACACAGUGUUCCUUCAGUAUGAGGGUGACCUUCUUUUGUGUGGAAUUCAGAAGAAUGAUCUCUGAGGGCACUGGCUCUCUUCCCAAUUCCUGGCCCUGGAGAUAUAAAGUCUCCCCAGAGGCGCUCAGUUUUGCAGACCCAGGUCUGACUUGGACAUGAUACUGGAAGGGGAAACUCAAAAGCUUGACCCAGAAAGAAUCCCACCCGCACUCCUGCAUCCCCUUCCUUGGACAGUAAAGCAGCUCAGGGGCUGGCCAGGACAACAGGACAUUGUAGAAUUGGAUGCCUGGAUGUGCUGAGAGGUGAGGCCCGUCUGUGAGUGCCUUAAGGGAGCGCAGGGACAUUCACUGCAGUCCUUAGUUGGACUCCAGAGGCAGGAAGACAGCGCUUACCCAGGCCCCUGCUCUGGGCUGGCGGCCCAGUCGACUUUUCUGUGUGGCAGAAAGGGACGGAGUGGCAAGGGGAAUGUCACUUAAUCACUGGGGGCCCCUCCCAGCCAGUGGGGUACCUAAGUAAGGAGUUGGACGAGGUGUCCUGGAGCCGUGGCUGCAGUGGGCUCUUGGUGCCCGAGGCACAUAAACUCACCCUGGGAGGCCCCUCCUGUACUGCCCUCCCAGGGCAUCGGAGGCAUCCUGAGCUCUAAGGGCAGCUCUGGCUAUAGACAGCCGCACUUUCCAGCAGCAGGCCCUGCUGGAAGGACCUGAAAUGACCUGAAAGGCUUGUCAUGACCUUGGUGCAGUCACAUUCUUACCUGAGGUAGAGGAAGGCCCUCCACUCCCCUGAGGAGUUCUAGUGGACACUUGCGCUGCCAGGCCAGAGGUACCUGAUCAUCCUGUAGAUAGUCAGAUCGCACCCUAUCCACCCCUGGGAGUUCAUCAGUGAUCGAUGGGACUCGGAGAUCUGGGUACGCAGCAGGGACAGACUUUGAGGUGGAAUCAGGGCCACUUCCUGCUAAUGCCAGAGCGCAGGUGCCAGAAUUGGUUGUCCCCCCAACCCCUGGCCCUAGAGUCUUCUAAAGACAAGAGGGUUGAAGUGCACAGGGAGCUAAACAUGCCUGUCUCAUACCUAUGCUCACGCUGCUGCCUGGGGGAGUGGGGCUUGCUCACCACCGCACACUCCUGUUGGCACGCCAAGGAGCUCUUUGCCUCCUGAGGCCACCUCCUGCCCUCUCAGGUGGCAGGUGUCCAUGCUCCUGGGCAUCAGACAUAGCAGCCAAGGCAGCUGUUUAUCGGGUCCCACAGCCACCCGCUCCUAUGGGAAAUUCUUUCCUGUCCUCUGAACGCCCCAGUUCUCGCUGGAAGAGGCCCUACAGACUGCGCCUCAAGGACCCCACCUGAGUCGUAGAGGAUGGCACCCUGUUACUUCCCCAGCAUCUGAUGGAAGGUUUUGAAGUCUCUCCCCCAGCUCUACAAUUGGGAAGAGACCAUAAUCUUACCCUAAAACAGGAGAUGUUUUCAGGAAAAGGCUGAAGACACAAUCCAACAGAUCAUCCACAGCUGUGGCGUCUGCCAGCAGGGUAAUUCCUCUAACAAAUGCCUCUGCCCUCCUGGACACCAAGGAGCAGGUUGUCUGUCAUCCCGGAGUGGAC
rnacentral:lncRNA from 1 species